AUACAGUCUCCCUAAUACAAUAAUAAUGCACCAUGUAAGGUAUAUACUUGGUUCUAAGGUCCAGUUUCUUUUAAAAGCACAUUCAAUAUAUACCUUUCAAGUUUGCCUCAACGUUUGCAGUGCAGCUUCUCUCUGUAUGAAUACCCAUCUGUUUCCAAGUACUUAGUAAGUGAUCCUUCUGUUGAUUGUGACAUCACAAGAUUCCCGACUGUGACAUCACAACAUUCUGAGCUGAG